rnacentral:rRNA from 1 species
CUCCUACGGGAGGCAGCAGUGGGGAAUCUUGCGCAAUGGGCGAAAGCCUGACGCAGCCAUGCCGCGUGAAUGAUGAAGGUCUUAGGAUUGUAAAAUUCUUUCACCGGGGACGAUAAUGACGGUACCCGGAGAAGAAGCCCCGGCUAACUUCGUGCCAGCAGCCGCGGUAAUACGAAGGGGGCUAGCGUUGCUCGGAAUUACUGGGCGUAAAGGGAGCGUAGGCGGACAUUUAAGUCAGGGGUGAAAUCCCGGGGCUCAACCUCGGAAUCGCCUUUGAUACUGGGUGUCUUGAGUAUGAGAGAGGUGUGUGGAACUCCGAGUGUAGAGGUGAAAUUCGUAGAUAUUCGGAAGAACACCAGUGGCGAAGGCGACGCACUGGCUCAUUACUGACGCUGAGGCUCGAAAGCGUGGGGAGCAAACAGGAUUAGAUACCCUGGUAGUCCACGCCGUAAACGAUGAUUGCUAGUUGUCGGGAUGCAUGCAUUUCGGUGACGCAGCUAACGCAUUAAGCAAUCCGCCUGGGGAGUACGGUCGCAAGAUUAAAACUCAAAGGAAUUGACGGGGACCCGCACAAGCGGUGGAUGAUGUGGAUUAAUUCGAUGCAACGCGAAGAACCUUACCUGGUCUUGACACGUACAGAAGAACUUGGAGACGAGUUUGUGCCUUCGGGAGCUGUAACACAGGUGCUGCAUGGCUGUCGUCAGCUCGUGUCGUGAGAUGUUGGGUUAAGUCCCGCAACGAGCGCAACCCUUGUCAUUAGUUGCCAUCAUUAAGUUGGGCACUCUAAUGAGACUGCCGGUGACAAACCGGAGGAAGGUGGGGAUGACGUCAAGUCCUCAUGGCCCUUAUGACCAGGGCUUCACACGUCAUACAAUGGUUGGUACAAAGGGUAGCCAAGCCGCGAGGUGGAGCCAAUCUCAGAAAACCAAUCGUAGUCCGGAUUGCACUCUGCAACUCGAGUGCAUGAAGUCGGAAUCGCUAGUAAUCGCAGGUCAGCAUACUGCGGUGAAUACGUUCCCGGGUCUUGUACACACGC